rnacentral:rRNA from 1 species
CCCUUAGAUGUUCUGGGCUGCACGCGCGCUACACUGACAUACUCAGCAAGUUUCCUUUCCCGAAAGGGUUGGGUAAUCUUGUUAGUGUAUGUCGUGAUGGGGAUAGAAUAUUGUAAUUAUUGCUCUUUAACGAGGAAUUCCUAGUAAGCGCAAGUCAACAGCUUGCGCUGAUUACGUCCCUGCCCUUUGUACACACCGCCCGUCGCUCCUACCGAUUGGGUGAUCCGGUGAAUGGUUCGAACUCUGGCUAUGCUAGCUACUAGCUACGUCAGGGAAAGUUCUGUGAACCUUAUCACUUGGAGGAAGGAGAAGUCGUAACA